CCCUCCCGCUGGAUCUGGAAGAGGGGAGGGAGCGAGCACCGUUGCCGAGGGCCACCGCCUCCCCUCCCGCCGGAUCUGGCGAAGGGA
rnacentral:pre_miRNA from 1 species